UAUAAAAUGUUGUUUAGCAUUAAGAAUUUUGAUUUCUUAGGUAUUAGUUUAAUCUAAUUUUUAUAA
rnacentral:tRNA from 1 species